CAAUAGCGUAUAUUUAAGUUGUUGCAGUUAAAAAGCUCGUAGUUGGAUUUCGGAUGGGAUCUGUCGGUCCGUCUUUGAGAUGUGUACUGGUAGGUCCUAUCUUGUUGUCGGGGACCAGCUCCUGGGCUUCACUGUCCGGGACUGGGAGCCGACGAAGUUACUUUGAGUAAAUUAGAGUGUUCAAAGCAAGCCUACGCUCUGAAUAUAUUAGCAUGGAAUAACACGAUAGGACUCUGGCUUAUCUUGUUGGUCUGUGAGACCAGAGUAAUGAUUAAGAGGGACAGUCGGGGGCAUUCGUAUUUCAUUGUCAGAGGUGAAAUUCUUGGAUUUAUGAAAGACGAACUUCUGCGAAAGCAUUUGUCAAGGAUGUUUUCAUUAA
rnacentral:rRNA from 1 species